rnacentral:misc_RNA from 1 species
GAUGAAGAACGCAGCGAAAUGCGAUAAGUAAUGCGAAUUGCAGAAUUCCAGUGAGUCAUCGAAUCUUUGAACGCACAUUGCGCCCUUUGGUAUUCCGAAGGGCAUGCCUGUUCGAGCGUCAUUUGUACCUUCAAGCUCUGCUUGGUGUUGGGUGUUUGUCUCGCCUCUGCGUGUAGACUCGCCUUAAAACAAUUGGCAGCCGGCGUAUUGAUUUCGGAGCGCAGUACAUCUCGCGCUUUGCACUCAUAACGACGACGUCCAAAAGUACAUUUUUACACUCUUGACCUCGGAUCAGGUAGGGAUACCCGCUGAACUUAAGCAUAUCAAUAAGCGGAGGA